rnacentral:misc_RNA from 1 species
UAAUAAGUGGUUUAUGGCACUUUUUAAAUCCAUAUCCACCUUGUGUGCAAUGUCAGUCGAUCUUCUUCAUGGAGAUCGACCAAACAUCAACCUUUAUCUUUUAACAUCUUUGUCUGAAAAAUAUUAUGAAUAAACAAUUCAAAAUA